rnacentral:rRNA from 1 species
AAUGAACGCUGGCGGCAGGCCUAAUACAUGCAAGUCGAACGAGUGGCGGACGGGUGAGUAAUGUCGGGAACACUGCUUUAUGGAGGGGGAUAACUACUGGAAACGGUGCCAAAUCCCGCAUACCUUCAGAUGUGCCCUGAUGGGAUUAGCUUGUUGGUGGGGUAACGGCUCACCAAGGCGACGAUCCCCAGUUGGUCCGUGAGGAUGAACAGCCACACUGGAACUGAGACACGGUCCAGACUCCUACGGGAGGCAGCAGUGGGGAAUAUUGCACAAUGGGCGCAAGCCUGAUGCAGCCAUGCCGCGUGUAUGAAGAAGGUCUUCGGGUUGUAAAGUACUUUCAGCGGGGAGGCGUUACCCGCAGAAGAAGCACCGGCUAACUCCGUGCCAGCAGCCGCGGUAAUUC